rnacentral:lncRNA from 1 species
AAAUUUUUCAAACAGCAAAACAAUCGAUUAUAUGGUUUUUAACAAUCGAUUAUGUUCAGACCGUUGCCAGUGUUCUUUUAAACGUUUGAAAUAUAAUCGAUUAUACAUAGUUGAUAAUCGAGUAUGUUGGCACAGAAUCUUAAACUGAUUUUUGAACAAUAACAUACAAUCGAUUAUGUUUCAUAAACAAUCGAUUAUUCUCCUUAAAAUCAGGAUAUGAUCNNN